AAAAUUGUAUUCUGUAUUCAUAAUGAACGCCAAAGCGAUAUUUUUAGUUUGCCUUAUGCUGGUAUGCUUGAUAGCAUCCGCCUACGCUUCUGCUAAUCCAGGAGGCGAUUUAAUAAGUUCAAAUCCAUCCAAUAGAGCUACAGACAACAACGGACAAAAUUCAAAUCUCGGUCAAGCGCAAAAGGAACGAAAAGGACUAUUUGGUUGAAAAUUUACUUCCCGAUGGUUUAUAAAUAAAACUUUGAAUAAUAAUUAAA